GAAGAAACAGCAGCAGAAGUCUAAGAAGAGUCUGACCAGUGGGUUGUUUGUUUGGAAGCCAGAGAAGUAAAGAGAUGUACCUCCUAAAUACUUCAGUAAAGCUGCUGCAGAAGACUGUGGUCGUGCUGGCAGCUCCCAGGUAACUGCAUCAAGAGACAAGUGCAACCCAACCAAUCAGAAGGAUGAUGGUUCAGUCCCUGGCCAUUCCAGUCCAUGAGUAUCCUUGGGCAAGAUACUGAACUAUUGCUGCCUACCUGGGCCCUCUUUCACAAAGCAGGUUCAACAGAUUCUGAUUUGAUUAACCCCCCCAGAGAUGAACAAGAAUGGGUUUUUAGCUCAAGGAUUCAUCAUGGCAACAAGUAAAUAAAGAGUCAGAAUAAGAAUACUUUAUUAAUCGCUAAGGAAAUUAUGUGGUCACAGUUUCUCCAAGACAGUAAGCACAGUAACUGACUAAAUUAAAUAAUAUAAAAUAUGAAAAUAUUGCAAAGUUGCAAAAUAUAACAAAAAAGUUAAUAUUUACAAAUAGCCCAAUUAUAAAUAUCCCAGUAUAAAACCCAAAUUAAAUAUAUAUGGUUGAAAUUGAAGUGCCCCCUUUUUUUAAACCUUUAUUUCUCUGUAGACAAUGUGCAAAUAUUAACGCUGUGCAACUGCUGAACUGUGUACUGUGCAUUAGAUGGGGGAGUUGUACAGAGAGAUGAUUUUCUGUGUCAUCUCUCAGAAAAUCAUUUGGGUAAUCUCAGUCUCUCACUGAACGUGCUCCUGUGACUGGCCAGCACAUGAUGGGAGUAUGUGGGAGGUCUACUCCACCUUAAGAGAGUCCAGCUCCAUCCUCACAACAUUACUGGCCUUGCAGAUCAGUUUAUUGAGUUUGUUGGCAUCUGUGACCCUCAGCCUGCUGCCCCAGCAUGCAACAGCACAUAGGAUGGCGCUGGCCACAGAAUCAUAAAAAAUCCUGAACAUUUACCAACAGAUGUUAAAAGAUGUCAGCCACCUCAGAAAAUAGAGACGACUCUGGCCCUUCCCGACUCUGGUGUUUUUCACCCAGUCCAGUUUAUUGUCAGUGUGUACUUUGGGGUAUUUAUAGUCCUCCACAAUGUCCACAUCAACCCCCUGGAUUGAUACAAGGGUCAGCGGUUUCCUAGUCCUCCGAAAGUCAUUUCCUUGGUCUUUGUCACAUUGAGCUGCAGAUGAUUCUGCUCACACCAUGUGACAAAGGAGUCAACCACAGCCUGGUACUGUCUCAUUACCCUCACUGAUGCAUCCAACCACCGCAGAGUCAUCAGAAAACUUCUGAAGAUGGCAGGUCUCUGUGAAGUGGCUGAAGUCUGUGGUAUAGAGGGUGAAGAGGAAAGGGGAGAGGACAGUCCCUUGUGGUACCCCUGUGUUUCUGAUCACCUUGUCAGACACACAAUGUUAAAGACGCACGUAUUGUGGUCUUCCUGUCAGGUAAUCAACAAUCCAAGGCACGAGAGAGGCAUCAACCUGCAUCACUGUCAGCUUAUCACCCAGGAGGGUCGGCCUGAUGGUACUGAAUGAAAAGUCAAACAACAUGACCCUCACUGUGCUCACCAGCUGAUCCAGAUGGGCGUAACUAUGGUGAUUUGAAGAUUCAAACUUGACAAUUUUAGAUUUCAACAUGUGGAUCAGCAGAGUUACACCAUAAAAUGUUGUUAAGAGCACAUUCAGACUUUUUGAACUGAAGUGAAAAUUAUUUCAGUGGUUGUCAUCUCUGAUAGAUGACAGACUUCACUGUGCACUGUAUCACUGCACAUGGUUGAAAUGACAAUAAAGCCGCUAGACUUGGCUGAAUCUAAAUAUCUUAUUAUAUUUAAACAGGAUUUUAUAUGUGCAAAGACAUUAUGUUCUUUGCACAUAUAGUAUGUUCUUUGACGUCGACUGCAUGAACGGGGAAAUUCAGUCAGUCAGCUGGAUCAGGUGCAGCAGGAGGGGAGAAACAGUUUUUGUAGAUGUUAGGUUCUCAGUCUGUUACCCUGGUAACUGUUUUAUGUUAGCUCUUUUAAUGGAACAUAAAAUCCAGAUUUUUCCCUCAGUCUUAAUAAGCUCCUGCUUUUGAGAACACAGCCCUGGACUUAUUCUGCAUCCAGACAUUUGUAGAAAAAAUGAUUAGACAAAUUAUUUCCAUUGUAUCACAAGUGAAAUGUUCUAAACUUGCUAACAUUGUUGUUAAUGUGAUCCUAAGUACUACAGUAACCUAGUUGUGAGUGUGAUAAAAUGUAAGGACUUCAGUUACACUUUUUUAAACCAACUAAAAUGUCAGUCUGUGGUAAAAACCCAACAGCCCAUUUAGUUUUCAUGCAGAGAUCACCUUCAUCCUUGCUAGCCUGUUAAACUGAAGGUUCUUUUUUUGAUGUACACUGACAUCUAGUGGUUACAAUGCAACAAUACAACAAUCCUGACAGUACGUAAUAGACCCUGAAAGUUCUGCUCCGAUGUUACAUUAGAAUGUUGCUUAUGCAGUGGUGCAUUUGCAAUUUAAAAUGUUAUAUAACUGCAUAAUGACACAAAUAACACCUACAGUAACAAACUGGAUUGUAUCAACAACAUAUUGUAGUAUAAAAAUUUUAUAGUCUGCUAAAUUGAGUUUUACUUGUAAACAGCUUUUCUACUCUGUGUACUUAAAAGCAUUUCAAACUACAAGCCAUAUUCACUCAUUCACACACGUUCCCUUAGCACUUAGUUACAUACCUUCAGUCACUUUUUACCACCCACUCUAACCAAUGAACCUGGGGCAAUUUGGGGUUUAGUAUCUUGCCCAAGAAUAGUUUGAUGCACUGGCUAAUUCAAACCACC